rnacentral:rRNA from 1 species
UACACGGAGAGUUUGAUCCUGGCUCAGAAUGAACGCUGGCGGCGUGCUUAACACAUGCAAGUCGAACGAUAAGAGGGGCUUCGGCCCCUUGGACAGUGGCGCACGGGUGAGUAACGCGUGGGUAACCUACCCUCAAGUUUGGAAUAACGCUUCGAAAGGGGUGCUAAUACCAAAUAUGACCACGAGGACUUCGGUCCAAGGGGUAAAAGGUGGCGAGUCUUUCGGGACGCUACCGCUAGAGGAUGGGCCUGCGUGACAUUAGAUUGAUGGUGGGGUAAUGGCCUACCAUAUUGUCUACGAUGUCUAGCUGGUCUGAGAGGAUGAUCAGCCACACUGGGACUGGAACACGGCCCAGACUCCUACGGGAGGCAGCAGUGAGG